AACGCGAAGAACCUUACCUGGGCUUGAACCGCACAGGACCAUCUUUGGAAACAGAGACUUCCCGCAAGGGACCUGUGUAGAGGUGCUGCAUGGCUGUCGUCAGCUCGUGCCGUGAGGUGUUGGGUUAAGUCCCGCAACGAGCGCAACCCUUACUCUUAGUUGCCACCCGCAAGGGGGAACUCUAAGAGGACUGCUCCGGAUAACGGAGAGGAAGGUGGGGAUGAGGUCAAGUCAGCAUGGCCUUUAUGUCCAGGGCUACACACGUGUUACAAUGCGCGCCACAAAGCGUUGCAAACCCGCGAGGGGGAGCUAAUCGCAAAAAAGCGCGCUCAGUUCGGAUUGCAGUCUGCAACUCGACUGCAUGAAGCCGGAAUCGCUAGUAAUGGCGCAUCAGAACGGCGCCGUGAAUACGUUCCCGGGCCUUGUA
rnacentral:rRNA from 1 species